UUCGUUCUCGUCGUCGUUGGUUUAGAAACAGAUACCCUGAACCACAACGAACUGAAGUUGAUACAACUUAUCAAGAGCUUGAUCUUUCAAAAAUGAACACAGAAGAUAAUUAUCAAUCGUUGAGAAACACAGGACCUCAAUCAAAUCCCGAACCAAAGACAACUGAAGCUAAUACAACUUAUCAAGAGCUUGAUCUUUCAGAAAUGAACACAGAAGAUAAUUAUCAAUCGUUGAGUGUAAAUGCUGCAAGUAACGAGGCUCGAAAUCGAGCUGCAAAUGAUGAUGACUCUACUUAUACUGAGUUGGCCAAAACCAGAGAUAUGGAGGACAACUACCAAUCAUUAACUUGAACCUGGAAUAUUAUUUAAAGAUAAAAGGUAGCCUCCUCUUCAGGCAUCUCCAUCGGGGUCACAUGUACCAGAUGAUUUAAAACCACAGAAACCAGGGUAAUGCCUGCGGAGAAUUCCAUAUUAAAAGCCAUGCAAGGAAGAUGUUUUAUUCAACAGUGGACUUGAGACUGUCCCAAGGUUCUUUUUUAUCGAAUAAAGAUCAUUCUUUUCUUCUCCUGAGGUAAUCAGUAAUGGCCACGAUUACGGAUUCUUUUAUGAAACAAAAUUAGCUUACGGCUUGUUGGGACUAAAUUCAUUGACUUGUUCAAUGUGCAAAGUCGAAAUAAAUAUCCCCACUCCCCCAAGCCAAUGUUGAAUGGAAUUUUUUCAUCAAAUAUCAAGUGUAGAUAAUGCGGAUAUACAACAUUAAAGAUGGGGGAGUGGGGGAAGGGUAUGCGUUUAAAUUCAAGCUUUAUGUGUUUGUCAGGAUUUUUGAAAAAGUGAAUUAAGUGUCCGCAUUAACUUUGACCUGGAUUGUAGUCUGAUAUAAAUUGUAACAUAUCAAACGUAACAUCAGUCGAGUAAAGUUUAG
rnacentral:lncRNA from 1 species